rnacentral:rRNA from 1 species
GACGAACGCUGGCGGCGUGCUUAACACAUGCAAGUCGAACGGAAAGGCCCUGCUUUUGUGGGGUGCUCGAGUGGCGAACGGGUGAGUAACACGUGAGUAACCUGCCCUUGACUUUGGGAUAACUUCAUGAAACUGGGGCUAAUACCGGAUAGGAGCUCCUGCUGCAUGGCGGGGGUGGGAAAGUUUCGGCGGUUGGGGAUGGACUCGCGGCUUAUCAGCUUGUUGGUGGGGUAGUGGCUUACCAAGGCUUUGCCGGGUAGCCGGGCUGAGAGGGUGACCGGCCACAUUGGGACUGAGAUAAGGCACAGACUCCUACGGGAGGCAGGAGUGGGGAAUAUUGCACAAUGGGCUGAAGGCUGAUGCAGCAACGCCGCGUGCGGGAUGACGGCCUUCGGGUUGUAAACCGCUUUCGCCUGUGACGAAGCGUGAGUGACGGUAAUGGGUAAAGAAGCACCGGCUAACUACGUG